CUCUGCAUGUAGUUCAGUUGGUUAGAGCUCAGCGCCAGAAUCACAGGGCCGCAGGUUUGAUUCCUGUCAGAGG